rnacentral:rRNA from 1 species
GAUGAACGCUGGCGGCGUGCCUAAUACAUGCAAGUAGAACGCUGAAGGAGGAGCUUGCUCUUCUGGAUGAGUUGCGAACGGGUGAGUAACGCGUAGGUAACCUGCCUGGUAGCGGGGGAUAACUAUUGGAAACGAUAGCUAAUACCGCAUAACAGUAGAUGUUGCAUGACAUCUACUUGAAAGGUGCAAUUGCAUCACUACCAGAUGGACCUGCGUUGUAUUAGCUAGUUGGUGAGGUAACGGCUCACCAAGGCGACGAUACAUAGCCAACCUGAGAGGGUGAUCGGCCACACUGGGACUGAGACACGGCCCAGACUCCUACGGGAGGCCGCAGUAGGGAAUCUUCGGCAAUGGACGGAAGUCUGACCGAGCAACGCCGCGUGAGUGAAGAAGGUUUUCGGAUCGUAAAGCUCUGUUGUAAGAGAAGAACGAGUGUGAGAGUGGAAAGUUCACACUGUGACG